GCUGGGGACAAUGGUAUAUGCUGUAGUCCCAGCUGCUCAGGAGGCUGAGGCAGGAGAAUCACUUGAGCCCAAGAGUUGGAGACCAGCCUGGGCAACAUAGCAAGAACUUGACUCAG
rnacentral:sRNA from 1 species